CAGGACGAACGCUGGCGGCGUGCCUAACACAUGCAAGUCGAGCGGAGACAGUGAGUAGCUUGCUACGAGCUGUUUUAGCGGCGGACGGGUGAGUAACGCGUGAGCAACCUUUCCCAGACAGGGGAAUAACACACCGAAAGGUGUACUAAUACCGCAUAAGACCACGGGAUCACAUGGUUCUGGGGUAAAAGAUUUAUCGGUUUGGGGUGGGCUCGCGUCCGAUUAGGUAGUUGGUGAGGUAACGGCCCACCAAGCCGACGAUCGGUAGCCGACCUGAGAGGGUGAUCGGCCACAUUGGGACUGAGACACGGCCCAAACUCCUACGGGAGGCAGCAGUGGGGAAUAUUGGGCAAUGGAGGAAACUCUGACCCAGCAACGCCGCGUGGAGGAAGAAGGUUUUCGGAUCGUAAACUCCUGUCCUUGGAGACGAGUAGAAGACGGUAUCCAAGGAGGAAGCCCCGGCUAACUACGUGCCAGCAGCCGCGGUAAUACGUAGGGGGCAAGCGUUGUCCGGAAUAAUUGGGCGUAAAGGGCGCGUAGGCGGCUCGGUAAGUCUGGAGUGAAAGUCCUGCUUUUAAGGUGGGAAUUGCUUUGGAUACUGUCGGGCUUGAGUGCAGGAGAGGUUAGUGGAAUUCCCAGUGUAGCGGUGAAAUGCGUAGAGAUUGGGAGGAACACCAGUGGCGAAGGCGACUAACUGGACUGUAACUGACGCUGAGGCGCGAAAGUGUGGGGAGCAAACAGGAUUAGAUACCCUGGUAGUCCACACUGUAAACGAUGAAUGCUAGGUGUAGGGGGUAUCGACCCCUUCUGUGCCGCAGUCAACACAAUAAGCAUUCCGCCUGGGGAGUACGGCCGCAAGGUUGAAACUCAAAGGAAUUGACGGGGGCCCGCACAAGCAGCGGAGCAUGUGGUUUAAUUCGACGCAACGCGAAGAACCUUACCAGGUCUUGACAUCCACUUAAACUUACAGAGAUGUAAGGUGUGCUUGCACAAAGUGAGACAGGUGGUGCAUGGUUGUCGUCAGCUCGUGUCGUGA
rnacentral:rRNA from 1 species